rnacentral:rRNA from 1 species
UACAGAGGUCCCGAGCGUUGUUCGGAUUUACUGGGCGUAAAGGGUGCGUAGGUGGCUUGAAAAGUUUGAUGUGAAAGCUCAGGGCUUAACCCUGAAAUGGCAUUGAAUACUGUCGAGCUGGAGGUUUGGAGGGGGGACUGGAAUUCUUGGUGUAGCAGUGAAAUGCGUAGAUAUCAAGAGGAACACCAGUGGCGAAGGCGAGUCCCUGGACAACACCUGACACUGAGGCACGAAAGCUAGGGGAGCAAACAGG